rnacentral:lncRNA from 1 species
AUGCGGAGGGUUGGAGCUCGUGAGCGAAGGCGCUGAAUCCUGAGGGUCAGAUCUCCAAGAAGGAGGGAGGCUGGUCCUAGUUCCCGAGGUCCUAGACUAGGUCUAGAUCACUGGGUAAAAGAAGGGGAGCGGCAGCACGUAUGGGAUCUUUCAAGACUCUAGUCAAAAUGAGCAGAACAUUUUGCAGUUAAUCAUAGAGUUGAAGAUGAACGAGAAGAUGAACGAGAGCUACUUGAUUGUGAACUAGUAACGACCACUUGGAGUCGCAGUGUGUCUGUAAAAUGAUGAUGACAGUGACAUCAUAGAGGACAUAGUGCAAGUGAACAGUUUGAUACUGAGCUUGGAGCCUCAGUAGUUCUGGAUAAGUGAGAGCUGUACGGGAGGUUGUAACCAUGAGCUACCCUGGUUGGCAGUUGACAUCCGAGGACCAGCACUGGUCAUCGCACAGAAAGAAAACUUUACACCUUGAGAUCCCUCCAUUCUUCUUAAACUUCCAAGUGUAUGUUUGAUGGGAGAAGAGGGGAAGGGAUCAACAUUUAAAGGCUCUGGAAGGAGUCAGAUAACUGUUUUUGGCUUCAAAUGUAGAAUGAAUCCCUAGAUUUUCCUCUACUGAGAGAAUGAAAUCUUAACCCAUUCCGUUCCCUUGUUGGUACUCAGAAACGGAUACCCCAAAGAUGCAUUUUGACAUGCUGAAAGGCCUUAGAAGCUGCCUUAGAAGAUCUGUCUAACCUUGUCUUGUUGGUGUGUGGAAGUGGGAAUGCCCACAGGUGCACAGGGAGGGAGUUUCUGAAAUUAUCUGACCGAGAAAGCAAAAAAAAAAAAUCAAUUGUCUUAAACCCGGUUUCUAGGGAUCUCAUUAAAGAACUAGGAAAAAUUAACCACCUGUUAACAGAAAAACCAAACUGAAAUGUUUUAAAGAGAUUUAUUUUGAGCCAAUAUGAGUGACCAUGGCCUGGGGAACACAGGCUCAAGAGGUCCUGAGAAAGUGUGCCUGAGACAGUAGAAUUACAGUUUGGUUUUGUACAUUUUAGGUGGACAGGAGUUACAGACAAAGACAUAAAUCAGUACAUGGAAGGUACAGAUUGUGUUCAGCUGGGUGCAGUGGCUCACGCCUGUAAUCCCAGCACUUUGGGAGGUCGAGGUGGGCGAAUCGCUUGAGGUCAGGAGUUCGAGACCAGCCUGGCUAACAUGGUGAAACCGUGUCUCUACAAAAAAUACAAAAAAUUAGCCAGGGAUGGUGGCAGGCACCUGUAGUCCUGGAGCUACUCAGGAGGUUGAGGCACGAGAAUUGCUGCGGAGGUUGUAGUGAGCCGAGACCACACCACUGCACUCCAGCCUGGGUGACAGAGCAUGACUCUGUCUCAAAAAAAAAAAAAAAAUUCUACGGUAUUUUUAUAAUACAUUUUGUAGUACCACUUAUAACCACUUGGGUGCGUGGGUUGCCCAUUAAAUCAAACAGUUUACAGUUCACCCUUGAACAACAUGGAUUUAAACUGUACUGGUCCACUUAUACUCAGAUUUUCUUCUGCCGCUGUCACUCUGAGACAGCAAGACCAACCCCCCUUCCUCUCCUCAGCCUACUCAAUGUGAAAAGGACAAGGAUGAAGGCCUUUAUGAUGAUCCACUUCCACUUAAUGAAUAGUAUAUUUUAUCUUCCUUACGAUUUCCUUAAUAACAGUUUCUUCUCUCUACUUUACUAUUGCAAGAAUACAGUAUAUAAUGCAUAUAACAUACAAAAUAUGUGUUCAUCUAUGUCAUCAGUAAGACUUCAGAUCGACAGUAGGCUAUUAAUAGUUAAGUUUUGGGGGAGUCAAAAGUUAUAUGUGGAUUUUCUACUGCAUUGUUUAAGGGUCAACUGUAGAUUCAACGACUACCUAGGAUUGUAGAGUUGACUGAUAGCACUGGGACUGAUGAUAACAUCAUAACCUGUAAGAAGUGUCAACAAUGGUGAUGGACCCCCAGCAACCCUGGAGUGGGGAUGUCUAAAGAUAGAUGUCAUCCACCAGGCAGGAGUUGGUGCUGCCAGUGUGUCAUGUACUGCAGCCUCUUUUAUUUAUUU